rnacentral:lncRNA from 15 species
UGAUUCUUUUAUUUAUUUAUUUUUAAAUGUCAAAAAUAAAUAAAUAAAAGCAUUAUUUUUUAAUUGAUCAUUAUUAUUAGUAUUUUAUGUUUGCCUUGAUAACUGUUUAAAUAAAAUAACUACAAUUCUAAACACCGAUAAUUAAUCAAUAUUCAUGAAACGGACUGAGCAUGCGUUUGGCAAAACUGUGUGCGCAUGCGCACCAACAGCAGCGUUUCCGGACUACAAAUCUGCGCUCCCUUCAGUCAGUGCGCUUCCUGCUACAAAAACAAAAACAACCACUUUAAAAAGCAGUUAAAUGUUUUAUAUUAACGGUCGAAUAUAAAGAGAAUGGCGGAGGAGAAAACUCUGGGGUAAUAAAGAUGGACGCCGGUGUUAACGACAGCUUUGAGAACCGGACACGGACCGCGGUGGACCUCUCUCUCCGGGACACCGUCGCCGCGCUGCAGCGGGACGGAGGCGGGACGGAGGCGGACACACUUCCUGAAAUCCUCCGGGACAUCGGGAGAGAUUUAACCGCCACAGUAACCGAGCUGCACCGGGACACCUGCGCCGAAGUGCUGCGGGACAACCGGGCUCUGAGGGCGGAGCUCGGCCGGCUGGAGGCCGAGCUGAAGAGCAGCAUCGCGGCCGGGUUCCAGCUGGAGAAGCAGCUGCGGAGCCAGGUGGGCCGGCUGAGGAGGGAGGUGGCUCACCUGGACCGGGACCUGGAGAGGGUGAGGGCGGGGAGCCAGAGGACCAGAGAGCGGCUGGAGACCCAGCGGGGACAGAGGACCCUGAGUGGGCCGGUUCAUGUGCUGCUGCAGGGCGGAUCAAUGCUCGGCGACCCACCGACCUCGACCGCGGAGCGAAACAGACCAUCAUCAGCAGUCGACUCCCGACCUCAGGAAACAACGACGAAACUCAGUGAAGACAAACCUGAAGAUGUUGGAGGAAAAUCAGCAGGCUUUGGGAAGAGUAACAACCAGGAGACAAACAAUAGGAAAAAGGAGAAGCAUCAACAGAAGCGAAUCUUUUGUGACAAAUGUAACAAAGGCUUCCACUACCGACAUCAGCUGAAGCAGCACAUGAGUCGUCAUGAGCAACCGUUCGCCUGCGAUCAGUGCGACAAACGCUUCCACAAGGAGAAGAGCUUCCAAACUCACCUCCAGGCCCACAAA